rnacentral:rRNA from 1 species
UACGAAGGGGGCUAGCGUUGCUCGGAAUCACUGGGCGUAAAGCGUGCGCAAGCGGUUUUGUAAGCCAGAUGUGAAAUCCCCGGGCUUAACCUGGGAAUGGCAUUUGGGACUGCAAGGCUGGAGUUUGGCAGAGGAGACUGGAAUUCCUGGUGUAGCAGUGAAAUGCGUAGAUAUCAGGAGGAAUACCGAUGGCGAAGGCAGGUCUCUGGGCUAUAACUGACGCUCAUGCACGAAAGCGUGGGGAGCAAACAGG